AUACGGAGGGUGCAAGCGUUGUUCGGAAUCACUGGGCGUAAAGGGCGCGCAGGCGGUUUGGUAAGUCAGAUGUGAAAGCCCACGGCUCAACCGUGGAAGUGCAUUUGAAACUGUCAGACUUGAGUACUAGAGGGGAAAGUGGAAUUCCCGGUGUAGAGGUGAAAUUCGUAGAUAUCGGGAGGAAUACCGGUGGCGAAGGCGACUUUCUGGCUAGAUACUGACGCUGAGGCGCGAAAGCGUGGGGAGCAAACAGGAGUAGAAACCCUAGUAGUCC
rnacentral:rRNA from 1 species